rnacentral:rRNA from 1 species
ACGCUCGACACCUACGAGGCAGCAGUGGGGAAUAUUGCACAAUGGGGGAAACCCUGAUGCAGCGACGCCGCGUGGAGGAAGAAGGUCUUCGGAUUGUAAACUCCUGUUGUUGGGGAAAAAGAGGAUGGUACCCAACAAGGAAGUGACGGCUAACUACGUGCCNGANCGCGGUAGUAUGAGCGGCGNGNGAGAG